rnacentral:snoRNA from 1 species
CCUCUCGAUGAUGAGGAACUUGUCAGCUACAUCCUCACCGAGUUGGACGCUGAGUACAACCCGGUUGUUUCAGCCGUUCUGGCACGGUCGGAGUGGAUCACCGUGGGGGAGUUGUACACCCAACUCCUCAUGUUCGAGC